rnacentral:rRNA from 1 species
AGUAAUGUAUGGGGAUCUGCCCGAUAGAGGGGGAUAACUACUGGAAACGGUGGCUAAUACCGCAUAAUGUCUACGGACCAAAGCAGGGGCUCUUCGGACCUUGCACUAUCGGAUGAACCCAUAUGGGAUUAGCUAGUAGGUGGGGUAAAGGCUCACCUAGGCGACGAUCUCUAGCUGGUCUGAGAGGAUGAUCAGCCACACUGGGACCGAGACACGGCCCAG